CAGAAAGGGAAAGGAGAGGAGUAAAGAGGAAAAGAGAACAGUGGUGGGUGCCUAUAAAGAGCCACACACCUUGCUGCAUGCUCUAUAUGUGGGCUAUUGUUUGUUCUCACAAUGAAUCUGAGUAGUAGAUAUAGCAUGCCCAUUUUCCAGGUAAUUGCUGAAGGAUUUUUGCUUCAAACAGGCUCUUGUUUGCAUCAAGUGUGGGGUGCAGCAAAGUGGACUCGGGACUGGCCGAUGUCUGGCCAGAAAUGCCAGGCAAGGGAAACAGUGACUCUCGUGGGGUCAGGAGAGGGGCAUCUGCUGGCCCAGGAGCGCAAGGCAGAGGAACUUCAUUGUCCCCCUUAUAGGUGAGGCGACUCUGAGGCAGGAGGUCCAAGUUUGCUGGACAAUGGCAGAAACAGAAUUCAAAAACACCUGUCUUCUAGGAGAAGUUCUGGUCUCUCCUCGGUGCUGUGGCUGCCCCAGG
rnacentral:lncRNA from 1 species